CCACCCAUACGUAGAAUGUAUGCACACAUGACUGUAAGUCGCUUUGGAUAAAAGCGUCAGCUAAAUGGCAUAUAUUAUUAUAUUAUUAUUAUUAUAUUAUUAUUAUUAUUAUAUUAUAUACAGGGGGUACCGGUACAGAGUCAAUGUGGAGGCUAUAUACAGGGGGUACCGGUACAGAGUCAAUGUGGAGGUUAUAUACAGGGGGUACCGGUACAGAGUCAAUGUGGAGGUUAUAUACAGGGGGUACCGGUACAGAGUCAAUGUGGAGGUUAUAUACAGGGGGUACCGGUACAGAGUCAAUGUGGAGGUUAUAUACAGGGGGUACCGGUACAGAGUCAAUGUGGAGGCUAUAUACAGGGGGUACCGGUACAGAGUCAAUGUGGAGGCUAUAUACAGGGGGUACCGGUACAGAGUCAAUGUGGAGGUUAUAUACAGGGGGUACCAGUACAGAGUCAAUGUGGAGGUUAUAUACAGGGGGUACCGGUACAGAGUCAAUGUGGAGGCUAUAUUGUGGUCCUUCUGCAGCUCAGUUGGUAGAGCAUGGCGCUUGUAACGCCAGGGUAGUGGGUUCGAUUCCCGGGACCACCCAUACGUAGAAUGUAUGCACACAUGACUGUAAGUCGCUUUGGAUAAAAGCGUCAGCUAAAUGGCAUAUAUUAUUAUUAUUAUUAUUAUAUAUUAUUAUAUUAUUAUUAUUAUAUUAUUAUUAUUAUUAUAUUAUAUACAGGGGGUACCGGUACAGAGUCAAUGUGGAGGCUAUAU